AGGAAGAGGCCAGUGUCCAAAGGUAUUGUCGAUGGUAAGCCCAAGCACCAGGGUGUUACCCAACUCAAGUUCUAGAGGAACAAGCGAUCUGUUGCUGAAGAAAGAGCUGGGUGCAAGCUGGAUGGUCUUCGUGUGCUCAACUCCUAUUUGGUUGCAGUUGUAGCUUUUGCUAAUUAUGUAAGUAAAUACGUCGGAGCGCCUCCCUUAGUAUGCUCUAUGUUUCAAUGA
rnacentral:rRNA from 1 species